UGAGGAAUAUUGGUCAAUGGUCGAGAGACUGAACCAGCCAAGUCGCGUGAAGGAUGACUGCCCUAUGGGUUGUAAACUUCUUUUACAAGGGAAUAAAAUGAGAUACGUGUAUUUUAUUGCAUGUACCUUGUGAAUAAGCAUCGGCUAACUCCGUGCCAGCAGCCGCGGUAAUACGGAGGAUGCGAGCGUUAUCCGGAUUUAUUGGGUUUAAUGGGUGCGUAGGUGGGCUGUUAAGUCAGCGGUGAAAGUUUGUCGCUUAACGAUAAAAUGGCCGUUGAAACUGGUAGUCUUGAGUUUAGAUGGGGUAGGCGGAAUGCGUGGUGUAGCGGUGAAAUGCAUAGAGAUCACGCAGAACUCCGGUUGCGAAGGCAGCUUACUAAGGUAUAACUGACACUGAAGCACGAAAGCGUGGGUAUCAAACAGG
rnacentral:rRNA from 1 species